GCAGUCAUGGCCAAGUGGAUAAGGUGAUUGACUAGAGGUCAAAAGGUCGCCGGUUUGAUCCCCAAGACCCCA